AGCGAACGCGGGCGGCAGGCCUAACACAUGCAAGUCGAACGAACCCUUCGGGGUUAGUGGCGGACGGGUGAGGAACACGUGGGAACGUGCCUUUAGGUUCGGAAUAACUCAGGGAAACUUGUGCGAAUACCGAAUGUGCCCUGCGGGGGAAAGAUUGAUCGCCGUUGGAGCGCCCCGCGUCUGAUUAGCUAGGUGGUGAGGUAAUGGGACACGAAGGCUACGAUGAGUAGCUGGCCUGAGAGAAUGACUACCCACAUUGUGACUGAGACACAGCCGAGACUCCUACGGGAGGCGGCAGUGGGGAAUCUUGCGCAAUGGGCGAAAGCAUGACGCAGCCAUGCCGCGUGGAUGAUGAAGGUCUUAGGAUUGUAAAAUCCUUUCACCGGUGAAGAUAAUGACUGUAGCCGGAGAAGAAGCCCCGGCUAGCUUCGUGCCAGCCGCCGCAGUAACAC
rnacentral:rRNA from 1 species